CUCGUAGGCGGUUUGUCACGUCGGAUGUGAAAACUCGGAGCUUAACUCCGGGCCUGCAUUCGAUACGGGCAGACUAGAGUUCGGUAGGGGAGACUGGAACUCCUGGUGUAGCGGUGGAAUGCGCAGAUAUCAGGAAGAACACCGAUGGCGAAGGCAGGUCUCUGGGCCGAUACUGACGCUGAGGAGCGAAAGCGUGGGGAGCAAACAGGAUUAGAUACCCUGGUAGUCC
rnacentral:rRNA from 1 species